ensembl:snoRNA
AUGCUAUACAACUCUGCAUGUACAUCCUUAAAAUUUGUCUUACAUCAUCUAGAUUUUCUCAAUAUAAAAUGUAAAACCAGAAACAUGAUUUUACUGGCCUUGCCUCAAUUUUUGAUGCUGCCUCCUUCUUCCUGGCAGCUGCCCACAGGGAGGGUUCACAGAGGACCCGAAGUAGAGCUAGGCAGGAGCUAUCUUAAUGCAACCCUGGAUCUGAGA